rnacentral:rRNA from 1 species
CACGCCGUAAACGAUGAUGACUAGGUGUUGGGGAAACUCAGUGCCGCAGUUAACACAUUAAGUCAUCCGCCUGGGGAGUACGACCGCAAGGUUGAAACUCAAAGGAAUUGACGGGGACCC